AAUGGGCGAAAGCCUGACGGAGCAACGCCGCGUGAGGGAUGAAGGCCUCUGGGCUGUAAACCUCUUUUAUCAAGGAAGAAGAUCUGACGGUACUUGAUGAAUAAGCCACGGCUAAUUCCGUGCCAGCAGCCGCGGUAAUACGGGAGUGGCAAGCGUUAUCCGGAAUUAUUGGGCGUAAAGCGUCCGCAGGCGGCCCUUCAAGUCUGCUAUUAAAAAGUGGAGCUUAACUCCAUCAUGGCAGUGGAAACUGUUGGGCUUGAGUGUGGUAGGGGCAGAGGGAAUUCCCGGUGUAGCGGUGAAAUGCGUAGAUAUCGGGAAGAACACCAGUGGCGAAGGCGCUCUGCUGGGCCAUCACUGACGCUCAUGGACGAAAGCCAGGGGAGCGAAAGGGAUU
rnacentral:rRNA from 1 species